rnacentral:rRNA from 1 species
UCAGUCGACUCCUACGGGGAGGCAGCAGUGGGGAAUAUUGCACAAUGGGGGAAACCCUGAUGCAGCCAUGCCGCGUGUGUGAAGAAGGACCUUCGGGUUGUAAAGCACUUUCAGUAGGGAGGAAGGUAGUGUAGUUAACACCUGCACAUUUGACGUUACCUACAGAAGAAGCACCGGCUAACUCCGUGCCAGCAGCCGCGGUAAUACGGAGGGUGCGAGCGUUAAUCGGAAUUACUGGGCGUAAAGCGCAUGCAGGCGGCCUGUUAAGUCAGAUGUGAAAGCCCGGGGCUUAACCUCGGAAUUGCAUUUGAAACUGGCAGGCUAGAGUCUUGUAGAGGGGGGUAGGAAUUUCAGGUGUAGCGGUGAAAUAGCGUAGAGAUCUGAAGGAAUACCAGUGGCGAAGGCGGCCCCCUGGACAAAGACUGACGCUCAGAUGCGAAAGCGUGGGGAGCAAACAGGAUUAGAUACCCUGGUAG